AUGGCCACGCAUCAGGUGGAGCUAGGCGCUUCUCUGCACCAAGGCGGCAACAUCCGUCGCCUAUCCAGACGCCUCGCUGAUCCUGCCCAAUCCACCUGGGCGUCACUGCACAUAGACCUGCUCGAGCUGAUUGCCAGUUGGGUACUUGCCAGCGACCUGCUGGACUACAUUCGGUUUCGUGCAGUGUGCUUACGAUGGCGUGUCAUGACUCCUUGCCCACGCGGUCGAGGCGUGGUCGACCCGUGCUUCCAGUCACGUCAGUGGAUGAUGUUCCCAGAGGGUGGCGGGUUGUACCCGGGCCACCCUGGACUACUUGGUUACCUGGCCAAGUUAGGGUGCUUCAUCAGUGACUUUAACAAGAUUCAACACACCCGGUUUGUCCGCGCGUCUGUCUCCGUCAAUCUGGUUGGCACUGUCAGCAUGAUGCUCGCAUUGACUAGCCUUGAUCGUGUGGUGUAUGCAUCCACCGGUAACCGGCAGUGGACUCCUACGAGCUGGAAAAUGAAGCACUUGUACUCGGCAUUGCCAUUCGGUGGCAGCCUCUAUGUGGUGGAUGGAGGGUGGGGUCUCGAACCAUCGCGCAUCCUGCGCAUCGAUCCUCCAGAAGAUUCCAACCCCUCCUCAUGGUCAGUGAUACCACCGCAAAUGGUCACCCAAUGUCCAGUGGAACUGUUGAGGAUGCCUCAACUGGCAGAGUGCAACUCCGAGCUGCUUUUGGUUGGCUAUGACAAUAGACACUCAAGGAUUGUGCUUUUCUGGGUUGCUGACCUUCUAAAGGGAGUCACCACCAUGCAACUGACAAGCAUCGGUGAUCAAGCCAUCUUCAUCGGCGGACGGAACAUGGUUGUUAACUCCAAGAGCCUGCCAUCCGUCCAGGGGAACUCCAUCACCAUUUUCAAUGAAAUAGGUGGUGGUCUUGCAGGCAGGGGAACUCUACCGCUAUACGAUCUUGGCAGCGGUACCUGGUCACAGGGGUUUGACGGACACUUUCUCGAUGGACCCAUGCCUAGGCCGUACAGCCUUGUCCUCCACGUCGCAACCUGCUGCCAGCGCCUUUUCUGGAACAGUGGGAAAAUCAUGUGUUUCAACACAGACGUAGGACUAGGAGCCGAGGAGUGA
rnacentral:rRNA from 1 species